rnacentral:rRNA from 1 species
GAGACACGGCCCAGACUCCUACGGGAGGCAGCAGUGGGGAAUAUUGCACAAUGGGCGCAAGCCUGAUGCAGCGACGCCGCGUGAGGGAUGGAGGCCUUCGGGUUGUAAACCUCUUUUAUCGGGGAGCAAGCGUGAGUGAGUUUACCCGUUGAAUAAGCACCGGCUAACUACGUGCCAGCAGCCGCGGUAAUACGUAGGGUGCAAGCGUUAUCCGGAAUUAUUGGGCGUAAAGGGCUCGUAGGCGGUUCGUCGCGUCCGGUGUGAAAGUCCAUCGCUUAACGGUGGAUCCGCGCCGGGUACGGGCGGGCUUGAGUGCGGUAGGGGAGACUGGAAUUCCCGGUGUAACGGUGGAAUGUGUAGAUAUCGGGAAGAACACCAAUGGCGAAGGCAGGUCUCUGGGCCGUUACUGACGCUGAGGAGCGAAAGCGUGGGGAGCGAACAGGAUUAGAUACCCUGGUAGUCCACGCCGUAAACGGUGGAUGCUGGAUGUGGGGCCCGUUCCACGGGUUCCGUGUCGGAGCUAACGCGUUAAGCAUCCCGCCUGGGGAGUACGGCCGCAAGGCUAAAACUCAAAGAAAUUGACGGGGGCCCGCACAAGCGGCGGAGCAUGCGGAUUAAUUCGAUGCAACGCGAAGAACCUUACCUGGGCUUGACAUGUUCCCGACGGUCGUAGAGAUACGGCUUCCCUUCGGGGCGGGUUCACAGGUGGUGCAUGGUCGUCGUCAGCUCGUGUCGUGAGAUGUUGGGUUAAGUCCCGCAACGAGCGCAACCCUCGCCCCGUGUUGCCAGCGGAUUAUGCCGGGAACUCACGGGGGACCGCCGGGGUUAACUCGGAGGAAGGUGGGGAUGACGUCAGAUCAUCAUGCCCCUUACGUCCAGGGCUUCACGCAUGCUACAAUGGCCGGUACAACGGGAUGCGACGCGGCGACGCGGAGCGGAUCCCUGAAAACCGGUCUCAGUUCGGAUCGCAGUCUGCAACUCGACUGCGUGAAGGCGGAGUCGCUAGUAAUCGCGAAUCAGCAACGUCGCGGUGAAUGCGUUCCCGGGCCUUGUACACACCGCCCGUCAAGUCAUGAAAGUGGGCAGCACCCGAAGCCGGUGGCCUAACCCCUUGUGGGAUGGAGCCGUCUAAGGUGAGGCUCGUGAUUGGGACUAAGUCGUAACAAGGUAGCCGUACCGGAAGGUGCGGCUG